rnacentral:pre_miRNA from 1 species
UUAACGCAAAUUUGUAUGCAGUUGGAUCAGCGCCCCUAGCGGCAAACGUAGGCAAACGUUGCAACUCCAUACAAAUUUGAGUUA